UUCUCUGGUUGAUCCUGCCAGACCCGACUGCUAUCCGGGUAGGACUAAGCCAUGCAAGUUGAAUGGAAUACCUAAAUUUUCCAUGGCGUACCACUCAGUAACACGUGAUCAACUUACCCUAAAGCGGUGUAUAACCUCGGGAAACUGAGGAUAAUGCACCAUAAUUGAAACUGCCUGGAAUGGUUUUUCAAUGAAAGAGUAAUCUCAAUGGAGAUUAUUUCACCUUAGGAUAGGAUCGCGCCCGAUUAUGGCUGUUGGUGAGGUAGCGGCUCACCAAACCUAUUAUCGGUAAGGGCCGUGAGAGCGGUAGCCCUGAGUUGGGUACUGAGACAAUGACCCAGGUCUUACGAGACGCAGCAGGCGCGAAAUCUUGACAAUACACGAAAGUGUGAUCAGGUUACCCGGAGUGCUACAAAGUAGCUGUGGCAAGUGAGUUUAAUUCCUUGCUAGGAAGGAGAGGGCAAGGCUGGUGCCAGCCGCCGCGGUAAAACCAGCUCUUCAAGUGGUCGGGGCUAUUAUUGGGCUUAAAGUGUCCGUAGCCGGUAUAGUAAGUUCCUGGUUAAAUCGGAUAGCUUAACUAUCUGUUGGCUAGGAAUACUGCUAUACUAGGGGGCGGGAGAGGUCUGAGGUACUCCAGGGGUAGGGGUGAAAUCCUAUAAUCCUUGGGGGACCACCAGUGGCGAAGGCGUCAGACUGGAACGCGCUCGACGGUGAGGGACGAAAGCCAGGGGAGCGAACCGGAUUAGAUACCCGGGUAGUCCUGGCUGUAAACGAUGCGUGCUAGGUGUUGGUAUGGCCUUGAGCCGUAUCAGUGCCGUAGGGAAACCGAUAAGCGCGCCGCCUGGGGAGUACGGUCGCAAGACUGAAACUUAAAGGAAUUGGCGGGCCUGCAC
rnacentral:rRNA from 1 species